CUAACUAAUUAAUUACACUAAUUAAUUAAUUAUAAAUUAAAAUUGACUAAUUAAUUACUUAGCCACUAUCCCCAUAACCGGCACCGGUAUCAACCCAGCAAGGAGUCUUGGUGCUGCAAUCGUCUUCAACAAGGACCGCGCUUGGGAUGACCACUGGAUUUUCUGGGUGGGCCCAUUCAUCGGUGCAGCACUCGCAGCUUUG